GACAGAGGGGGCAAGCGUUGCUCGGAAUCACUGGGCGUAAAGGGCGCGUAGGCGGGAUGGCAAGUCGGUCGUGAAAUCCCUGGGCUCAACUCAGGGGGUCGGCCGAUACUGCCGUUCUUGAGGGAUGCAGAGGAGACUGGAAUUUACGGUGUAGCAGUGAAAUGCGUAGAUAUCGUAAGGAAGACCAGUGGCGAAGGCGAGUCUCUGGACAGUUACUGACGCUGAGGCACGAAGGCCAGGGGAGCAAACGGG
rnacentral:rRNA from 1 species